AACGUAGGUGGCGAGCGCUAUCCGGAUUUACUGGGCGUAAAGGGUGUGCAGGCGGGCUGUUAAGUGGUGUGUGAAAUCGCCGGGCUCAACCGGGCGAGGUUAUGCCAGACUGGCAGUCUAGAGAGCGAGAGAGGGACGUGGAAUUCCGGGUGUAGUGGUGAAAUGCGUAGAGAUCCGGAGGAACCCCAGAGGCGAAGGCGGCGUCCUGGCUCGCAUCUGACGCUCAGACACGACAGCAUGGGGAGCGAACGGG
rnacentral:rRNA from 1 species